UCUAUCUAUCUAUCUAUCUAUCUAUCUAUCUAUCUAUCUAUCUAUCAGGUGAACACUGAGAGACAUGUGGAGGAGGCAAACACGGCGAAAAAGUCAUUGGCGACAAGACAUAUGCCAGAGAGAAAGAAGCUACAAAAACUUGUCUCUGCUGUCUCUACUCCACUUCAAGACGGAGAUGUGAAACACAAGACGAAGCGGGGAGUGGAAAGAAGUGGGCCAAGUCCUGGCAGCCAAAAGACUCAAUAAUACAUUUGUAAAUAUGUAUAUACUGUAGUUAAGUUUCCCCUCCAAUCCUGAGGUUUCACAGACUACUGAUGGUUAAUGGUUAAU